rnacentral:rRNA from 1 species
GUGGGUUCUCAAGCGUGAGGUAAGAGCAUCUGGUGGAUGCCUUGGCAUGUACAGGCGAUGAAGGACGUGGCACGCUGCGAUAAGCGUCGGGGAGCUGUGAGCGAGCUUUGAUCCGGCGAUUUCCGAAUGGGGAAACCCACCUUCACCAUUUCUUCCGAUGGUCAUGCAAAUGGCUAUGGGGAGAGGUGGAUAGGUAUCACUAAGUUGAAUACAUAGACUUGGUGAAGCGAACCCGGGGAACUGAAACAUCUCAGUACCUGGAGGAAAAGACAUCAACCGAGAUUCCGUUAGUAGUGGCGAGCGAACGCGGACCAGGCCAGUGCCUUUGUCUAAUUAAGCAGAACAGUUUGGAAAGACUGGCCAUAGUGGGUGACAGCCCCGUAUGCGAAUGAGAGGACGAAGGACUUGAGUAGGGCGGGACACGUGAAAUCCUGUCUGAACAUGGGGGGACCACCCUCCAAGCCUAAAUACUCGUACAUGACCGAUAGCGAACACAGUACCGUGAGGGAAAGGUGAAAAGCACCCCGAUGAGGGGAGUGAAACAGUACCUGAAACCGGAUGCUUACAAGCAGUUGGAGCCUCUUUAGGGGGUGACAGCGUACCUCUUGCAUAAUGGGUCAGUGACUUAGUGUAUCAUGCGAGCUUAAGCCGAUAGGUGUAGGCGCAGCGAAAGCGAGUCUGAAUAGGGCGCGAAGAGUAUGAUGCAUUAGACCCGAAACCCGGUGAUCUAGGCAUGACCAGGCUGAAGGUGCGGUAACACGCACUGAAGGGCCGAACCGUUGAAUGUUGAAAAAUUCUCGGAUGAGUUGUGUUUAGGGGUGAAAGGCCAAUCAAACCGGGAAAUAGCUGGUUCUCCGCGAAAUCUAUUGAGGUAGAGCGUCGAAUGUAUGCCGUUGGGGGUAGAGCACUGGAUGGUUGCGGGGGUCGCGAGAUCUACCAAUACUAACCAAACUCCGAAUACCAACGAGCCUUGUUCGGCAGACAGACGGCGGGUGCUAAGGUCCGUCGUCAAAAGGGAAACAGCCCUAACCUACAGCUAAGGUCCCCAAGUCAUCACUAAGUGGGAAAGCAUGUGGGAAUCCCAAAACAACCAGGAGGUUGGCUUAGAAGCAGCCAUCCUUUAAAGAAAGCGUAACAGCUCACUGGUCUAAAUAAGGGUUCCUGCGGCGAAGAUGUAACGGGGCUAAAGUGAUGCACCGAAGCUUAGGGUUCAGAUCUUAGAUCUGAGCGGUAGCGGAGCGUUCCGUAAGCCUGAGAAGCGAUCUGGUAAUGGGUCGUGGAGGUAUCGGAAGUGCGAAUGCUGACAUGAGUAGCGAUAAAGAGGGUGAGAUGCCCUCUCGCCGAAAGACCAAGGGUUCCUGCUUAAAGCUAAUCUGAGCAGGGUGAGCCGGCCCCUAAGACGAGCCCGAAGGGGGUAGUUGAUGGGAACCACGUUAAUAUUCGUGGGCCUGGUGGUGAGUGACGGAUCACGUAGAUUGUAUGUUCUUAUUGGAUUGAGCAUGCCUUUGAGUGGUUCCAGGAAAUAGCCCCACCGUAUAGACCGUACCCGAAACCGACACAGGUGGUCAGGUAGAGUAUACCAAGGCGCUUGAGAGAAGUAUCCUGAAGGAACUCGGCAAAUUGCCUCCGUACCUUCGGAAGAAGGAGGCCCCAUUUUUGCGCAAGCAAUUGUGGGGGGCACAGGCCAGGGGGUAGCGACUGUUUAGCAAAAACACAGGACUCUGCUAAGUCGGCUUCAAGACGACGUAUAGGGUCUGACGCCUGCCCGGUGCCGGAAGGUUAAGAGGAGGAGUGCAAGCUCCGAAUUGAAGCCCCGGUAAACGGCGGCCGUAACUAUAACGGUCCUAAGGUAGCGAAAUUCCUUGUCGGGUAAGUUCCGACCUGCACGAAUGGCGUAACGACUUCCCCACUGUCUCCAGGAUAUGCUCAGCGAAAUUGAAUUCUCCGUGAAGAUGCGGAGUACCCGCGGUUAGACGGAAAGACCCCGUGCACCUUUACUGCAGCUUCAGAGUGGCAUUAGGAAAGAAUUGUGUAGCAUAGGUGGGAGGCUAUGAAGCACCGGCGCCAGCUGGUGUGGAGCCAUAGGUGAAAUACCACCCUGUUGUUUUCUGAUGUCUAACCCAGG